UUUUUUUUUUUUUUUUUCUUUUUCUUGUGUCACACCUGCGGCAUAUGGAUAUUCCCAGGCUAGCCUACACCACAGCCACCACAACACCAGAUUUGAGCCGUGUCUGCACACAGCUCACGGCAACGCCAGAUCCUUACCCACUGAGUGAGGGCAGGGAUUGAAUCCACAUCCUCAUGGUUACCAGUCAGAUUCACUUCCACUGUGCCACAGCGGGAACUCGCCAGGCAACAGGAUUUUCUAGGACAGUAUCUAGAAAAUACUGUCAACCCUACAAAGCCCCAGGGAAAGUGCAUCCCUCCAUCUUUAGGCGUAAACUAAACCCAAACUCCAGCAGGUGAUUUAAGACAGGAGCACGAUGCACUGGUUUUUAACCCUGGCUCUGCUCACAGAGGUGUUCAGAGUGGACAGAAAAAUUGAGUCAACGUUAGCAGAGCGGCCGAAAAAGAAAUCAGGAGAUGUUCUGGAAGAAAGAACCUUUGAAAAGUGCACCAGGACCAUAAUUCCUAGCCUGCCGUGAUUCCGAAGCGGGAGCCCCCCCCCCCCCAAUUAAUCUUAAUGGCAGCGCUGCCUGCCUCUGCUUGAGGUAUCAUGAUGAAAAUUCAGCACACAUUUCAUUCAAGCAUCUGUGAGGCUCAAGCAUCUCAGGAGCGGGUGACUGUGGCAAUGAAAUUGCAGAAAGGGAGGCCGGCCCUCGCCGGAAUUCUGCGGGAACACAGGCGGGGAGUGUGGGUGUGAAAUGGUAGGCAAUUACAUUUGAUCACUGCUGCACGAGUUUCCGUGGAAUUCAUUACCAUGUGCUCUCGGGAUGGGGUUGGGGGACUGGCAUUUCCAUGGCCGAGAUGACAACCUUCAAAGCAAACGUCCCCUCUCUGUGCUGUGGGGAAGGCAGAAUGUCCGAAGGGCAGAGAGGCUUGGAGGCGACUGCCCAAGGUUACUGCCUGGAACUAGGGCUGCAAAUUAAACAAGGGGAUGCAGAGGAAGGAGGCCCUUGCUCCAAGUAGGGAAGGAGCCCAUUGGCCGGCAGGCAGAGCCAGGGGCUGAUGCUGAGAUGAAGCAGCCCCUCCCCUUGGGAUGCUAAGCACCCAUCAACACCUCCAGGUAGGGUGCGGGAGAGAGGAGAGGUGUAAAUUUGGAAGCUAAGCGAGAAAGAGCCCCGACUGAGCACUGAAUUAGGAGGGGAAAGCUGUGACUAGGAAGGCCCCGCAAUUACUUGGAGCAGGGAUAAAACCUUAAUUCCUGACAGCUGAAGAGCCGGGGGGACCGCCACACCCACCCAGCCCAGCUGAGGGGCUGGCUGGCUUUUCUCCCCUCUCCUUGCCAGACAGGCUGCCCGCCCCCCUGCCCACCGCUCCCGGGUAGCUGCAGGCUCAGCAGCUUCCUGCCAGUCUCCAUGUGUCCAGAGGCCCUGGAGAGAGGGGAGGGGCAGAGGGACGGGACCCUACUCCUCACUGUCCUUAAGCUGUGCCAGUUGCUGUGACUUCCUAGAUCCAAAGGGACUUGCCCAGCCACCUCUGCCCUCUCCCAAGCAGGUGAGGGGAGAGCACAAAGGCCAGGCCUGGGCCCAGGAUGGAUGUCUUUAAGGAUGCUCCAUGCCUGCAUCUUCAGCAUCACCAAUGCAUCUGAUCCAGGACUGGAGCAUAGGAGGCGCUCUUCUGAACAGAACCCAUCAGUCUCUGCUUUCUGCAUGGUUGCUUUCUGCAACCAUCUGGCUCCAUUAACUGGGACCUGGGCCACCCCAGGGGGGCCCAAGUGACCUUGCCGAUCUGCAGGUUGCCCCACCGAUCACCUGGGUGCGACAUGACCUGCAGACGCUCAGCUAGGGGUGCCUGUGUCCUCCCCUCAGUUUUAACGAGUAUCACUGCGGUGGUUACAGCUGGUUCUGCUGUGGCCGUUAAGGGCCCUGCAACCCAUGUGAAGGUCAGUUAACACCCAGGAAGCAAAGCCCGCCAGAGCGCCCCCAUCAGGACAGGAAGCGGUUAGGAGGGUCCCUCCUUUACAAAUGGAUGUUACACUGCCUGCCCGGUGAAGCUGCAUCUUCACACUCUACACACGUAGAAACUGUGAUUCCCAGGGACAAGAGUGUUUCAUCCAGUUCCAUCCCCAGGGCUGCUCAGAGCGGUGGCUGGGGCAGCUGGGCUCCUUCCUUGGCCCGGGAACUUCACAUGCUGUGGGUGCAGCCAAAAAAAAAGAGGAGGGAUCUGGAAACACAUCACCCAGGGUUGAAGGGACCUCUUUCCAAAAUGAGAAAUUUUGAUACUGUUUGGCCUUUGUCAACAACAGGAUGAAACACGCUCUGCCUCCCCACCCCCAUUGCUGUGGGCCUGCGAAGACGGUCAGGAGGCAGGGACCAGACCUGGGUCCUGAAGGCCAAGGCCUCAGCAGCCGCAAGGGUGACCCCAUCGAGACAGCAGCAGGGACUGAGCACUCUCUGGCUCCAGGCCAAACACAAGCCACCUAAACCUAAAAGCCAUCAGUGAGUAGGGGCCUGGCUCUCAGAGGGACACAGGCUGGUCCCCACAGCAGGCAGCCGGGUCCCAUCAGGUUUUGGGUCCCCAGCUCCCGCCAAUGCCUGGCUUACUGUCAGCGCUCCUGCCGUGUUUCCAGAACCAACGCCCUCUUGCUUAGCACGCAGGAGAACUUGGUCCCAAAGUGACUCUCCCAAGGUCUCAGAACCUGUGAGUAGCCAACGAGGGUAAGAAGUGAGACAAGCAAUGAUUCCAGACGUCCACACCGCCCCCCCCCCCCCCCGCCCCCCGCACCGUGUGCUCAAGGCCCAGGGCUAGGCUAAGGGUCUUGAAUGUCAUUGUCCCUGGUCCCCAAGGCCCUCUGUGAAUUAGGGGUGGGGUCAUCCCCACCAUUCUACAGGGUGUAAGUGACUCUGUCAAGGUCCCACGGCCAGAAAGGGGCAGAGCCCACACGCCUGACCCUAAGCCGUUGAACUUCCUGCUAAGGAGACAAGAUGGGCAGGCAGGGCCAACAGCCGGGGGGCGGGGGGUCCUGGCACAGAAGGCCACCAAAUCAGGUGUGUUCCCAACCGCCUCUCCUCCCCGCUCUGCUCGAAGGGCUUCUGCGCACACGCAGAGCCCUUGCCGCGGACAGGAAAGGGCCUGCCUGUCACACCACAGCAGUGACAAAUGCCAGGUCCUUCAUCCACUGAGUCACCAGGGAACAUCUUUCUGUUGACUCCAUUGUACGUUUCAGAACAAGACUCUGACCCAAGGCCUAAAAUUAUAUGUUUAUAUAUAACUUUCCAACCGGUACAUCAAUUGACUUGCUGUCACUCUCCCUAAAAAUAAGGCAUGUAUAGGAGCCCCAAGCUCCGCUUUUCAAAAUGUCCUUCUGAAUUACCAUCUGGAAAACUGGCCUGUUUCCAGUGAAACGGGAAACUUCUCGCUCUUCAGUGCACGCCAGGCCCUGCCCUGGGCUGGCGUCAAGCACUUCAAAGCCCCUUGUGGUUUGAACAAAUUGGAAACAGAAAACAAAGGGACGAGAAAGGAGCCUUCUCCGUGCAAGCACUCCCCCUCCAGGAGGGAAGCAAAGUCCAAUCAGCCUUUGAUGUGGCCCUGUGGCCACAUUCCUCUUUAAAAGCUCCUGAUGCUGGUCCAGCAUCCUCCUGCUGCUGUUCUGAACCUCAGCUAAUACAGCAUCCAGAUACAACGCAGCCCCAUGCCAGCGAGUGUCCCUAAUAGGAUAUUACCGGCCACGAGGCAGGUGCAGGUUAAAAUCAGUUCGGCGCUUCUCUCCCUAUUUCACUCCCAUUUCAACAUAAGGCCAUUUCCCUUGCGAGGUCUCUGUUUUCCCAAACCACUUCGAGGCCAUCAGUACGCAUGGCCAUCAAGGGUCCUGUGAGUGGACUCAUCACCGGGCUGGGUGUGGAGGGUGGGUAGCCAGGCCUGGAGCCAGAAUGCCUGCCUGCAAGUCCUGACUCCUCUUGCGUAUUCGUAAAAGCCUGACCCCCGUAGAUUACUUCACUUCAUUCUGAUCCAGUUUCUUUACCUUUUAAAUAUUCAUGAGCCCCAUGCCGACGUGAUGGGGUUAUUGAACAGAUCAAAUGGAACAUCUACGCACAAAAGACAGCAAGUGACAACCGAGGUUGCGCUUUUUCUUUUUUUUUAAAAUUCAACUAAUAUCAUUUGAGGCCCCCCAUGUGUCAGGCAUCGUGGUAAAUGCUGGAGAGGGAACAGUGGAGAAACUGGGCUGAGCCCUUGCCCCUCAGGAGGGAAGGGGCAAGAACACGAAGAACUGCUUUUGAAUCCCAGAAAGUUCUAUGAUGGAAACACAAGGGGCUGAAAUCAAGGGUCCGGGGGCAGCCCUGCUGGCCCAGUGGACAGGGCUGGCCUUUCUGAAGAGCCAGCUGCACGGCCAGAAGGAAGCAGCUGGCAAAGGGGCGGGGAGAAGGACCUUCUGAACAGGAGGCCGGGACCUGGGCAGAGGCAGGAAGGAUGGUGGGGAGACGGAGGAUCUGAAGAGGACGGAGCUGGGGCGCCGCUGCGUGGACCUGCCGCCGCGUGGAUGCUGAAAGAAGCACGUUGGCAGGUGUGUGGGGAACGAGCCGAGAGGGGCAAACGUGGAGGCAGAGAGACUGGGUCAGGAACACACUUCAAGGCAGGUUGUGCAGAACCUGGUGAUGCAGCAUUUGCGGGGAAGAUGGGAAGGGAAGGAAUGAGACAGGGCUUCUAGAUCCCCCGCAAGGCAGGAAACAGGGGGCAGGCUGGAAGGAAAUGAACCAUUUCCUUCGGACGUGUGCAGACUGAGAAGCGCAUUGCCUGUCCCAAGGGGCCACUGAAGGGCAGGAAUGUGGGAGUCAGGCAUAAAGGAGAGUCACAUCCCUAGGAAUGGCCGGGGGUGGGGGGACAGGGAGGGGCGGAGUCAAGGUGGGCUGGGUACAAAGGUGGAGCAGCUGAGCGGACCCAGAAGAUACCGCCCACCCGUGAAGUCAAGGAAACCAACCACGAGGAGGAGGUGGGGUCCUGGAGCCAAGGCC
ensembl:lncRNA